GGCAGCGACUGGGUGACCAGAAGCAAAUCUCUAAAGCCGAUCUCAGUUCGGAUUGGAGUCUGAAACUCGACUCUAUGAAGCUAAUCGCUAGUAAUCGCGCAUCAGCCAUGGCGCGGUGAAUACGUUCCCGGGCCUUGUACACACCGCCCGUCAAGCCAUGGAAGUUGGAAUCGCUAGUAAUCGCGCAUCAGCCAUGGCGCGGUGAAUACGUUCCCGGGCCU
rnacentral:rRNA from 1 species